rnacentral:rRNA from 1 species
AGAAUCAACGCUGGCGGCGUGCCUAACACAUGCAAGUCGAGCGCGAAAGGGGAGCAAUCCCCGAGUAGAGCGGCGAACGGGUGAGUAACGCGUGGGUAAUCUACCUCCGAGUGGGGAACAACAGCGGGAAACUGCUGCUAAUACCGCAUGACAUCGUCGAGCCUUCGGGUCUGACGAUCAAAGCCGGGGACCGCAAGGCCUGGCGCUUGGAGAGGAGCCCGCGUCCGAUUAGCUAGUUGGCGGGGUAAUGGCCCACCAAGGCUCCGAUCGGUAGCCGGCCUGAGAGGGCGACGGCCACGACUGGGACUGAGACACGGCCCAGACUCCUACGGGAGGCAGCAGUGGGGAAUUUUUUCGCAAUGGGGGAAACCCUGACGAAGCAACGCCGCGUGAGGAUGAAAGGCCUUGGUCGGUAAACUACCUCGUCGACCGGACGAACGCAUUGGCCAAUACGCCCGAUAGUCGACUGUACCGUGGAGGAAGCACCGCAACUACUGUGCCAGCAGCCGCGUAA